AGUUAAAAAGCUAGUAGUUGGAUUUUGGUUAAGAGGGCGCGGUCGGCCGUUUGGUCUGUACUGCGUUGUCUUGACUUCCUGAUGAGGACAUGCUCUUGGUUAACGCUGAGACAUGGAGUCAUCGUGGUUACUUUGAAAAAAUUAGAGUGUUCAAAGCGGGCUUACGCUUGAAUAUAUUAGCAUGGAAUAACACUAUAGGACUCCUGUCCUAUCUCGUUGGUCUCGGGAUGGGAGUAAUGAUUAAGAGGAACAGUUGGGGGCAUUCGUAUUUCAUUGUCAGAGGUGAAAUUCUUGGAUUUAUGAAAGACGAACUUCUGCGAAAGCAUUUGCCAAGGAUGUUUUCAUUAAUCAAGAACGAAAGUUGGGGGCUCGAAGAUGAUUAGAUACCAUCCUAGUCUCAACCAUAAACGAUGCCGACUAGGGAUUGGUGGAUGUUAAUUGAUGACUUCACCAGCACCUUAUGAGAAAUCAAAGUUUUUGGGUUCCGGGGGGAGUAUGGUCGCAAGGCUGAAACUUAAAGGAAUUGACGGAAGGGCACCACCAGGCGUGGAGCCUGCGGCUUAAUUUGACUCAACACGGGGAAAACUUACCAGGUUCCAGACAUAAGUUAUGAUUGAC
rnacentral:rRNA from 1 species